UCUGGUGACUAUAGCAAGGAGGUCACACCUGUUCCCAUGCCGAACACAGAAGUUAAGCUCCUUAGCGUCGAUGGU
rnacentral:rRNA from 3 species